AUACGGAGGGUGCAAGCGUUGUUCGGAAUUACUGGGCGUAAAGAGCGUGUAGGCUGUUUGGCAAGUCAGAUGUGAAAGCCCUGGGCUUAACCCGGGAAGUGCAUUUGAAACUGCCAUGCUUGAGUAUGGGAGAGGAGAGUGGAAUUCCCAGUGUAGAGGUGAAAUUCGUAGAUAUUGGGAGGAACACCCGUGGCGAAGGCGACUCUCUGGACCAAUACUGACGCUGAGACGCGAAAGCGUGGGGAGCAAACAGGAUUAGAAACCCCGGUAGUCC
rnacentral:rRNA from 1 species